GUAGGUGAACAGGAAACGCCUUUCAGAUCCAAGCUGGAGCUGAUGACUUUCUCUAACAAGAAGACGCGCACUGUAAGGAUGCGACAGACUUCAGGCCAAACGUCGGCAGCUUAGCGACGCACUCACCAUGCUGCAAGCGCUACCGGUCUCCGAGAAGCGACCACACAACCACUCAGCUCGCUCGCCCUACUCGGACUAAUUCUCCUCCUCCGCCCCCAGCGCCUCAUAAACACCUCCCUCCGCCAGAUCCCUCCGCCGCAUGCCAGAUAACGGAACAUCGCAAACGAGUCCCGGCCAACCCCCUCCUCUCUAACUCUUUUCAAGACUCAUUUAUCCAUUGUUAUUUACUCGACGAGGCAAGAGAUAAAGGGAAGCGGGCGAACGAAUGACGUGAGUGGGUUUCACUCUCCAGCCAGCCCGUUGAAAGGCCAGUGGAGUCGCGCUCGAAGGGCCCUACUUUGCGGCGCGGAGGAGCAUCGUGGUGGCGAUUUGUAGUCCGACAAUCGUUGAGCCGGCCUCCGAUUGGCUGGUUCGUACCUGCAAUGCGUCACUCGAGCUCGCAGCCGCCGCCGGGACGCGGUGCGGCUUCUGCCGUUGCUGGUCUGGCCGCGCUGUCCUGGCAACUGCGCCAGGCGGCAGAGUCGCUUCCCUUGCGCUUGGCUGGAGAACCUUCCUCCUCCACCCAUCCUUCUCUCCCACACUCACACACACACUUUCCCGCCCCUUGUGCAGGGGUAGGCGAAAACACCUUAGGCAGAUAAAGAAUGACGCUGAAAGACCCCAGGAAACCUGUACCCCGCGCUCAGCUUCUCGGCCUCGUGGAGGUCACACGUUUUCCAUUUUACUCCACGAAACCAAUAAAAAUCUAGGUAUGUACCCAGAAGAACUGAAAGUAAGAUCUUGAAGAGCUAUUGGUAUGCCCAUAUUCAAGGCAGCGUUAUUCGCUAUAGCUAAAACUUGGAAGCAACACAAGAAUGGAUAAGCAAAAUGUGGUAUAUACGUACAAUGGAAUGUUAUUCAGCCUUGAAAAGGAAGAAAAUUCUACAACAUG